GGGGCUAGAGGGGAAAGUCACUCCGCAGCAGUGGAAGAAGAAGUGGGAAAAUCUGAAAAAAAAGAUACAAGUUUUGGUGGAGUGUCGAGCAGAGAGAAGGAGGCACCAGACGCAGGAUUCUGGAUUGUGGUUGAGACCAUGACUGUGUUUUAUUUCACAGUAACACUCAGUAACAUUUCUGCUGCUGGCAUCACAUGCUCAACCAUACAGGGAGAUGAUGAAGAAGGCCAACAAUUUAUUCCCAGGAAGGAUGACAACCGCGGCGGGGCCCCUCAGAUGAGGCCAUGAGGAUUAAAAAAAAAUCCUUCGCUUCAGGACAAGUGUCCCCCUCAGAGACGUGACCUCGUGAGGACUAACGCUCUCACUGCGGUCCUUCAGCGGGGGGGUGAUGUGUCGGACCAACAGGAGGUGAUGGGGGAGUACGUGCUGCAGUUCGAAAAGUACAAGGGGAAACCAUACAGGUGGCUCCUAGAAAAUGAUGUCAGCUACACCAUCUACCUGAUAAAUAAGGUAGAAGAGGAUGAGAGAGAUGGGACCUUCAACCCCCAAGGGAACAGCAAGGACAGCCUGCUGUCAUUGUUGGACUAUGCGAGGAGAUAUUCUCCAGGACGCCUGCGCCACCAGUGUCGUCAGAGGGGGACAAUACAGUUGGCUUUGGAGCCGAGGACGCCUGGAGGCAGAUCAGGAGAGCAGGGGGGACGGUUACGCUGCCUUCAUUGUAGGAGUGAAAUGUGUGAAAAACAGCGAGAUGUACAACCUCCAGCAACAGAGGGCUGAGUCCUGUGCACUGGCUACAUCGGCUGCUUCCACACAAACAUCUCGACCUCUGGGUCGGUCAGAGCUACAGAGCUGCAUGUCUUCCACCUUCACCAAGCCCAGUGGGUGACAGGCAACCGAGUGUCCUGUGAACUUUUCCAGGUCCAGGCCUUGAAUGAAGCACAGCGCUUGAACUUCCAGAGGCUGGUAGAGCUGAAGCUGCCUGGGUGUGGAGCCGUCAGCUGUGUUUGACCCCUUGUUGACUGCAGAACUGAACUAGAGCUGGGCAAUAAGACGAUCUCGAAACAGGAUCGCAAUAAAAUUUAUGUUGACGAUGAUAAACUAUAGUCAUUUUUACUGGAUACGGACAGACCUUGAUAGAUCCAGACAGCGUGUCAUGCAGCAGAAGUUAACAGACAGCUGUCAGUCAGUGUUGGGGAUGUGUGUCACUGUACACGCCCAUUUUUUUUUACUGCAAAGUUUGUGCCGAGGUGAGGAGGAACAGGAAGCAGCGUGGACAUGACAAUAAGAGAGGAAAAUGAGGGGAAGUGAAGCUGAAGAAGAGCUUGCAUUGUCCUCAAAAACUGAUAAAACUGUGGAUAAAAAAAGUCACACAACUUAAAUAAUGGAAAAUCAAUUGGUUUCUUCCGGUGUCAGACAUCAUCAGGAUACUUUUCAAACCUGCAGCAUCAUCAAAUUAUAUAUCGUGAUAAAUAUAGAUAUCGAUCAAUACGUGGACAAUUAUUGUGAUAAUAUUUUUUGCCAUAUCGCCCAGCCCUAAACUGAACUCAGCCUCUGUUAAAGUGACGAAAAAGGCAAAAUAUCCCAGCCUGCAGAUAUCUGACAGGGGCACAGGGAGAGAUUUGGACGCAGUACAUGGAGCCACGCUGUCGUCCUGUUCUUUCAAACUGGAAUAAGGCACAGCACUACAUCCCAGCUGCUGUAGCCAUGGAGACAGAGCAUCACUGCCCUGCUGCUGUGGUGGGCACAGACUCUCAGGUAUCCAGACUGUGAUGACUGUGGUCGUAUUUGUGAUGCAGCUGUGGGUGUGUGUCUGGUGCGCCAGGUGUCUGUGUAUGUCUGUGUGCGAACAGGUGUCCUCUAGGUUGAGGCGGCCAUUGGUGGAACCGCUACUGGCUCUAGGUGAGUGGCUGAUGGACAGUACAUAAAGAGCCAAGAUGGUGGAAGCUGGAGGUAGAUGAAACGGCAUCCAGAGUGAAGUGACUAAAACUGUAACAUAAACUGGUGGAUCCAAAAGUAUUCUUUCCUCUGAUAUGUAGUGGAGUAGAUUUAUCAAGUGGUAAAAAAGGAAAGACUCAAGGAAAGUACCUCAAAUGUGUACUUAGGUACAGAACAUGAAUGAAUGUACUGUGACUUUCCACCACUGCACAUGCCAACACAUCUCCAGAUAUGUGAAGUCAAACAACAGCAACUCAGAGAAGGUUUCGGAGACACAGCAGCUGUUUGACCGCAGGUGUGUGUGUGGUUGUAGCACUGCAUGACAUCAUCCAACAUUUUGUCAUUUUUUUUCAAAGUCAUAAAGCUUCAGCAUCACAGUGUUUGUCAGCACACACAGAUCUACACAUUCCAUCCUCGGGGAGCACAACUGUGCCUUCUGGAUACUUAACACCAUGGUGAUGUGACUCCCAGUCCCUCCAUAGGAAACCCAGAGACUUCUUUCGUCCUUCAGAGAAGCUGCAGACGUCCUCUGCUGUCACUACAUCAC